UGGGGAAUCUUGCGCAAUGGGGGAAACCCUGACGCAGCAACGCCGUGUGAGUGACGAAGGCUUUCGGGUCGUAAAGCUCUGUCAGAUGGGAAGAAUUAGUUUGCUGAAAAUAUUGGCAAAUGAUGACGGUACCAUCAAAGGAAGCACCGGCUAACUCCGUGCCAGCAGCCGCGGUAAUACGGAGGGUGCAAGCGUUGUUCGGAAUUAUUGGGCGUAAAGCGCGUGUAGGCGGAUAGAUAAGUCAGGCGUGAAAUCCCUUGACUCAAUCAAGGAACUGCACUUGAAACUAUUUAUCUCGAGUACGAUAGGGGAGGGUGGAAUUCCCAGUGUAGAGGUGAAAUUCAUAGAUAUUGGGAGGAACACCAGUGGCGAAGGCGACCCUCUGGAUCGAUACUGACGCUGAGACGCGAAAGCGUGGGUAGCAAACAGG
rnacentral:rRNA from 1 species